CCACGUUCCGCCAGCUCCCCACCCCUCGGCCUCCUCUCCUCCCCACCUUCUCCCGCGAACCCACACUCACAAAGAGCCGAGGGGAGAGAGGGUGCGCAGACGGCCAGCCGGGCCGCGCCAGGGACAUACUGGAGACAGGAAGUGGCUGAGAGGGGGAGAGAGUUGGAGAGAGACGGCCGCGGAGGACACGGGGACGGGAAAGUCUGAGAGACGGGGAGAGCCUGACCCGGCGGGACACAGGCAGAAAGAAACACGCGAGCCAGACAGACGCAGAAGAAACGUGCCUGGUACUGGAUAGGAACUUCAUGGAAUGGAGCUAAUGGGCCGUAGGGCAGGUUUGAGUCGUGCCACCCUGGAGCAGAAGGUGGAGGGUAGGGAUAAGGGGGUGGAGCACCUGAUUCCAAUCUUGCCACAGGGAAGAAGAGUCUGUGAAGAAGUGCGUGAUGACUGUGUGUCCCCCCCCACCCAGAAAUUGGCAUUUGGGAGGGGUGGAUAUGGUUGGGACUGGGGAGCCUUGAUCUUACUGCUCUUGGUUGAGUUGGUGUCCAAUAGACAGUUUCAGAGGUUAGAGCAGUGGGAGUCACUGGGGACUGGGGACAGGAGAGGUGGGGGUGGGGGAAGCCAGGCGGGAAUGAGUAGGGAGGCACUGGGAGGAGGGGAGAGGCAAGAGUUAGGGGAAUACCGAGGAAAGUGGCAGGGAUUGGAGGCUCCUGGAGAAAGGGCAAGGCUGAAGGUUGUCCCAUGUAUUUUGGCCAGAUUUGAUUAUGUAAUCGAGAAUCAUGAGAUAAUUAAGUGUGUUCAUGUCUCUGGAGCCUUCAACCAGCUCUUUUAACAUCUUGCUCUUCCCAGCAUUCCUUAGGGUCUUUGGCUGGGCUCUGGGAUGGAUGCCAUGGGAGUACCUUUACUUAAGCUCUAAAGUUACCAAUGGAGAGACUGGGACUCAAAGAGGAACUUGAUUGGACCCCAGAGAGGAGCAGAUGUGUAGCUCUCUCACUUCC
rnacentral:lncRNA from 1 species